UUUGGUCUGGGCUAGAGUCCUAGAAGCUGGGUUAGAGUCCUAGAAUAUUUUCCUUUAGGUCGGGUUGUAGUCCCGACUUGGGUUCCAGAGAGACUGUUGAUCUGAUCUUAAAUACAUUGCACUUUCAAUUUUACUUACUAAAAAGCCUUUUUAACUUUCAAUUUAAUUUUCUCUUAAAUACAUUGCACUUUCUAUUUUACUCAUUUCUUGCAUGUUUUCUUUUACUUAUCUAUUAUUUUAUUUUAUUGUAUGACAAUGUUUAUAUGUGAAGCACUUUGAGUCUGCCUUGUGUAUGAAAAGUGCUAUAUAAAUAAAGUUGCCUUGCCUUGC